UACGUAGGGACCAAGCGUUGUCCGGAAUCAUUGGGCGUAAAGCGCGUGUAGGCGGCUCGAUAAGUCUGUUGUGAAAGCCCAGGGCUCAACCCUGGAACGCCGAUGGAUACUGUCGAGCUAGAGUCCGGAAGAGGCGAGUGGAAUUCCUGGUGUAGCGGUGAAAUGCGCAGAUAUCAGGAGGAACACCAAUGGCGAAGGCAGCUCGCUGGGACGGUACUGACGCUGAGACGCGAAAGCGUGGGGAGCAAACAGG
rnacentral:rRNA from 1 species